rnacentral:rRNA from 2 species
UGGUCCAGACUCCCAUCAUGGCUCAGGACGAACGCUGGCGGCGUGCUUAACACAUGCAAGUCGAACGGGGUGUUUAUUUCGGUAAACACCAAGUGGCGAACGGGUGAGUAACGCGUAAGCAACCUACCUUCAAGAUGGGGACAACACUUCGAAAGGGGUGCUAAUACCGAAUGAAUGUAAGAGUAUCGCAUGAGACACUUACUAAAGGAGGCCUCUGAAAAUGCUUCCGCUUGAAGAUGAGCUUGCGUCUGAUUAGCUAGUUGGUGAGGGUAAAGGCCCGCCAAGGCGACGAUCAGUAGCCGGUCUGAGAGGAUGAACGGCCACAUUGGGACUGAGACACGGCCCAGACUCCUACGGGAGGCAGCAGUGGGGAAUCUUCUGCAAUGGGCGAAAGCCUGACGGAGCAGCGCCGCGUGAACGAAGAAGGUCUUAGGAUCGUAAAGUUCUGUUGUUAGGGACGAAGGGUAAGAAUCAUAAUAAGGUUUUUAUUUGACGGUACCUAACGAGGAAGCCACGGCUAACUACGUGCCAGCAGCCGCGGUAAUACGUAGGCGGCAAGCGUUGUCCGGAAUUAUUGGGCGUAAAGGGAGCGCAGGCGGGAAACUAAGCGGAUCUUAAAAGUGCGGGCCUCAACCCCGUGAUGGGGUCCGAACUGGUUUUCUUGAGUGCAGGAGAGGAAAGCGGAAUUCCCAGUGUAGCGGUGAAAUGCGUAGAUAUUGGGAAGAACACCAGUGGCGAAGGCGGCUUUCUGGACUGUAACUGACGCUGAGGCUCGAAAGCUAGGGUAGCGAACGGGAUUAGAUACCCCGGUAGUCCUAGCCGUAAACGAUGGAUACUAGGUGUGGGAGGUAUCGACUCCUUCCGUGCCGGAGUUAACGCAAUAAGUAUCCCGCCUGGGGAGUACGGCCGCAAGGUUGCAACUCAAAUGAAUUGACGGA